AGCAGCCGCGGUAAUUCCAGCUCCAAUAGCGUAUAUUAAAGUUGUUGCAGUUAAAAAGCUCGUAGUUGAAUUUCGGGAUUAGUCCGCUGGUCAUGCCUUUGGUAUGUACUGGUGUUACUGGUUCCCUACCUUUCUGAAGAACCGUCAUGUCAUUCAUUUGGUGUGGCGGGGAAUCAGGACUGUUACUUUGAAAAAAUUAGAGUGUUUAAAGGCAGGCUCACGCUUGAAUACAUUAGCAUGGAAUAAUGAAAUAGGACGUAUGAUCCUAUUUUGUUGGUUUCUAGGAUUGACGUAAUGAUUAAUAGGGAUAGUUGGGGGCAUUAGUAUUCAAUUGUCAGAGGUGAAAUUCUUGGAUUUAUUGAAGACUAACUACUGCGAAAGUCAUUUGCCAAGGAUGUUUUCAUUAAUCAAUGAACGAAAGUUAGGGGUAUCGAAGACGAUCAGGAUACCGUCGUAGUCUUAACCAUAAACCUAUGCCGACUAGGGAUCGGAUGAUGUUGAAUUUUUUUCAAUGACUCAU
rnacentral:rRNA from 1 species